rnacentral:rRNA from 1 species
UACGUAGGGGGCAAGCGUUAUCCGGAUUUACUGGGUGUAAAGGGAGCGUAGACGGCAGUGCAAGUCUGAAGUGAAAGGCGGGGGCCCAACCCCCGGACUGCUUUGGAAACUGUGCUGCUGGAGUGCAGGAGAGGCAAGUGGAAUUCCUAGUGUAGCGGUGAAAUGCGUAGAUAUUAGGAGGAACACCAGUGGCGAAGGCGGCUUGCUGGACUGUAACUGACGUUGAGGCUCGAAACCGUGGGGAGCAAACAGG